rnacentral:rRNA from 1 species
UACGUAGGGUGCAAGCGUUGUCCGGAAUUAUUGGGCGUAAAGAGCGUGUAGGCGGCCAGGCAGGUCCGCUGUGAAAACUCGAGGCUCAACCUCGAGAGGUCGGUGGAAACCGUUUGGCUAGAGUCCGGAAGAGGAGAGUGGAAUUCCCGGUGUAGCGGUGAAAUGCGCAGAUAUCGGGAAGAACACCCGUGGCGAAGGCGGCUCUCUGGGACGGUACUGACGCUGAGACGCGAAAGCGUGGGGAGCGAACAGG